CCACACACACUUUGUGACACAUGUCCUCAAGCACCAAAAUGAAGGUGAUGAGUCUCUUGUCAGUGUGACGGGUCUUGUAGCUCAGAGCCAGGUUCAAAUUCUGCCUCUGGUCUUUACCAGCCCUACGAACCCGGGCACGCGAUCUCCCUGCUUCGAGCCUGUUUUCUUGCCUACAAAACGAUCUUUCCAAAACCACCCCCACCAAAAGGCCAGUGCUUCUUUGGGGCUCUGCUCAGGACCCGGUGUGAAGCACUGAGAGGCCACCACAUCCCUGGACGGCAUCUAUCUUCCCUCCAUCCCCUGCCUACAUUUCACUUUUUCCUUAUGUUCUACGGACGACUUCCACGGCGUGGCACAUGGCAUAAUAGUUCAAAAUUACGGACCACUCCUCCACGGGGAUUGUAUGGCCAGCCACACCCACGGCCGUCUGGACCACGUGACCUGUUCUGGCCAAUGAGCUGUGAGCGGAAGUGACAUCCCUUGUUUCCAGGCAGAAACUUUCAGAGCCGAUGCCGGGUGGCCAGGCGUGUCUACUACCUCUGCCACAAGACAUCGUCCCAGAUGUUGGCUCCUCUCUCGACCAGGCUCCCAGCGCAAAGAGGACACAGAGCAGAGCUGUAGCCACCCUUGAAGGACAAGUGGCAAUCCUGACAAGCCUCCGUUGUUGAAAGGAUGACACCUGGGGUCAUAUCCUGGCUGAUACACAUCGUGGCUGCUGGAAGGGCUUCCCGAGAGCUGCUGCCUGGUGCAAUGGAUAAUUAACCGUUAGAAUGUGAUGCCCUUGACUUGGCGGCCACUUGGCAGGUACUACACGAGCAGCGGAUGUGACCAUGACUUGGCAUUUCUGCACACAGAUCUGACAACAGUCUGAGCUCCGAGCUUAAUCUGCUAACGUGAGUUGUGUGGAAUCUCUGGCCUUACACAGCACGUGGGAGGCUCUUCCAUUGGACUCGUGGCCUGUGACCGUCUUCACCUCUGGGGAACCACUGCCUGUGCCCCUCCCUGAACCUGGCCACCCACCAGCAAGAGCCGUGUGCACGGAGGCCAUUGUCCACCUGUGCCCCUGCCAAGCAUUCACCAGCAGAAGGGGAAACAGCCAGCGUGAACGUGACCCAGAACUUUCUCCCCCAGCCCGUACCUUUUCAAGAUAAUGAGGGCAUGCAUCGUCCACGGGAGAAGGAGGAGGGCCUGAUUCAGCUGCACGGCUUCCACCGUCCUCCGGGCCACAGUCUCCGGCUUCAGGGGGGGGAAGAGGUUGGGGAACCUGGUACAGGAAGAGACAAUAUGGGUUUCUCCUAGAGAAGCACGCACUUCUGCUGACCAUCUCCGUGGCUAACAUCCGCGGGCCGUCCCUCUGGCUUUUCCUGUUUGGGAGACUCGAGUCCCCUUUGGAAUAUUCUCCCCGCCCCUGCCUGCUUCCCCAGAAAUGUCGGGAGUUCCUCCUUCCCCUUCUUCCCAGUGGGUCUCGCCUGGAGAAUGGAGGUCUUGUAGCCCACCCCCUGGGAACCAUUCUUCAAAAUGCUUCCUUUGAAAUGUCUUUUAAAAUGUCACCCAGGGGCGCCCGGGUGGCUCAGUCGGUCAGGCAUCCGACUCUUGAUUUUGGUUCAGGUCAUAAUCUCACGGUUCAUGAGCUCGAGCCCCAUGUUGGGAUCUGCACUGACAGUGUGGAGCCUGCUUGGGAUUCUCUCCCUCUCUCUGCCCCUCCCCUGCACGUGCUCUCUCUCUCUCUCAAGAUAAGUAAACAUUAAAAAAAGUACUAACAUGUCACACAGAUCCUGCUGCUGCCUGGCUCAGACCCUCUUCCAGCACUGUCCUGGGCCCUGCCCACUGCCUGACCUCUCUCCCUUGUCACUCUUCUCCCGAAAUCCAGGCCAACCUUUCUGUUUCUGUCGCUUCAGCUCCCUGCCAUCUCAGGGCCUUUCGCCAGCUGUCCCACCAGGGAGGGUUCUCGGCCCAUCCUCUCUGGGUGGCCUCUGAUCUCCUCCCCCUGCUAAUUUCCUUGACCUCAUUUACCACGUGGCCUUGCCUGUCUGCUUGUUUGCUUGUGCGUGGCCUGUCUCCCCUGUCAGACUGUGAGUGCCACAAGGGCAGAGGUCUGGUCGGUCUUGCUCCCUGUUUUAGCCCCCGGUGUGCAGUGCCUGGCAUAUAGUGGGUGCUCAUUAAACGCUUCAACUGAUGAACCUGGAACAACUUGCUGCUCCCCGAAUGUGCCCUGCUCAGCCCGUCUGGAGGUGGGCGUAGGCUGGGAAUGCCUUUCUCUGCCCCGCUUGCUGGUCCCCUCCUUGAUUCGUUGAUUCACUGAGCUGGUCAAAUGUUUACAGAGUGCCUUCCAUGGAGUUGGUAAAUGAA